AGUGAACGCUGGCGGUAGGCCUAACACAUGCGAGUCGAACGGCAGCACAGUAAGAGCUUGCUCUUACGGGUGGCGAGUGGCGGACGGGUGAGGAAUACAUCGGAAUCUACUUUUUCGUGGGGGAUAACGUAGGGAAACUUACGCUAAUACCGCAUACGACCUACGGGUGAAAGCAGGGGAUCUUCGGACCUUGCGCGAUUGAAUGAGCCGAUGUCGGAUUAGCUAGUUGGCGGGGUAAAGGCCCACCAAGGCGACGAUCCGUAGCUGGUCUGAGAGGAUGAUCACCCACACUGGAACUGAGACACGGUCCAGACUCCUACGGGACGCAGCAGUGGGGAAUAUUGGACAAUGGGCGCAAGCCUGAUCCAGCCAUACCGCGUGGGUGAAGAAGGCCUUCGGGUUGUAAAGCCCUUUUGUUGGGAAAGAAAAGCAGCAGGUUAAUACCCCGCUGUUCUGACGGUACCCAAAGAAUAAGCACCGGCUAACUUCGUG
rnacentral:rRNA from 1 species